rnacentral:rRNA from 1 species
AUAUAUGUGCGACGGCGUGCCUAUUGAAGAAUGAACCGGCGAGUUACAGUAUCUAGCGAGGUUAAGUGGAAGACACGGAGCCGAAGCGAAAGCGAGUCUUAAUAGGGCGACUAGUUAGAUAUUGUAGACCCGAAACCACAGUGAUCUAUCCAUGUCCAGGUUGAAGCGCAGGUAAAAUUGCGUGGAGGACCGAACCCGUGAACGUUGAAAAGUUUUGGGAUGAGAUGUGGAUAGGGGUGAAAUGCCAAUCGAACGUGGAGAUAGCUGGUUCUCCCCGAAAUAGCUUUAGGGCUAGCCUCAGGAAGUAAGUACAGACGGUAGAGCUCUGAUCGGGCUAGGGGCCAUAACGGUUACCGAACCCAGUCAAACUGCGAAUGGCUGUACUGGAAUCCUGGGAGUCAGACUGCGAAUGAUAAGAUCCG